AUCAUAUUUGGUAGCCAAGGAUGACUUGCCUGUUUCUUUGAACAAAAUGGUUAUUGUCAUGUUUGACAAGUGACUAUAAUUUGUAUCAAGUGACCAUUUAAAUGUAAAAAGAUAUCAGGCAGUCUCCUUGGCUAUCCUUAUAUGUUCU
rnacentral:pre_miRNA from 1 species